rnacentral:other from 1 species
UACCCUGCGGUGUGCGCAAUUUAGGAUUUAUUUUAACCAACACAUCUUAUAAGGGAGAUUGCGUCGGUCUGUGGCGUGUAAGCCCUCCGUUUGAAGAGGGAAACCCAGGAGCAGACCGCAUUUCACCCACCUGCUCACGCAGGUUUAGAAUAGUCCGGUUAAACGGCACUGCGGGGCUU